UGCUUUUCCAAUAACCUGCAGUGAAGGCAUUUAGAAUGACUGAAACUGAGUUAACUUACCACUGCUCCCGAGACCAGUAUAUAGAGAUCGGUUGGAGCCUCAUUCUGCAAAAUUACGUCUUCUUUAGGUGGGAAGUACUCUGCCUCCAUCUCUGAAACCUUUUAAAGUAAAGAAUGAUAUUACUUUCACUCUCUUGAAACGUAUAAUACAUAUGAUAAAUCAUGAAUUAAAUAUUGUAUAUGUGUAUAUCUUGUAUUUAUUCAAAACGAUCAAGGCACGUGCUUUAUUGUUUUUGUGGGCCCACCAGACCAGUUAACAUGGUUGUCGAUUGGCUUACAGAAAGACUCCAUAAAGAAAGAACGAAAAAAAAAUGAUGAUGAUGAUGAUAUUGAAAAGCUAA